rnacentral:rRNA from 1 species
AACUUUCAACAAGGGAUCUGUGGGCUCUGGCAUGGAUGAAGAACGCAGCGAAAUGCGAUAAGUAAUGUGAAUUGCAGAAUUCAGUGAAUCAUCGAAUCUUGGAACGCACAUUGCGCCCGCCAGUAUUCUGGCGGGCAUGCCUGUUCGAGCGUCAUUAC